UGCCGGCCGUACGACUGC
rnacentral:misc_RNA from 1 species